CCUACGGGGGGCUGCAGUGAGGAAUAUUGGUCAAUGGGCGAGAGCCUGAACCAGCCAAGUCGCGUGAGGGAAGACGGUCCUAUGGAUUGUAAACCUCUUUUGCCGGGGAGCAAAAAGCGGUACGUGUACCGCAUCGAGAGUACCCGGAGAAAAAGCAUCGGCUAACUCCGUGCCAGCAGCCGCGGUAAUACGGAGGAUGCGAGCGUUAUCCGGAUUUAUUGGGUUUAAGGGGUGCGCAGGCGGCGAGUUAAGUCAGCGGUAAAAUUUCGGGGCUCAACCCCGACAAGCCGUUGAAACUGGCUUGCUAGAGUGGGCGAGAAGUAUGCGGAAUGCGUGGUGUAGCGGUGAAAUGCAUAGAUAUUAGGAAGAACACCAGUGGCGAAGGCGGCUUUCUGGACUGAAACUGACGCUGAGGCACGAAAGCGUGGGGAGCGAACAGGAUUAGAUACCCGAGUAGUC
rnacentral:rRNA from 1 species